UUGGCUCUGUAAAUUAAGUAAUAUGUCGGGCAACCACUUUGCAAGCACUGCUAAGUCAAUCAGAACCAUAAUUCCUCGCACAGAUAAAAUGUAUUUGAUUAACAUGGUAGCACUAAAGGACAGAUGGCCCAGUGUC